rnacentral:rRNA from 1 species
ACCGCCGUCACACCACGAAAGUUGGUAACACCCGAAGCCGGUGGCCCAACCCUUGGGAGGGAGCCGUCGAAGGUGGGAUCAGCGAGUUGGGGUGAAGUCGUAACAACGGUACC